rnacentral:lncRNA from 10 species
CCUACCGAGUAGCUGGGACUACAGGCGCUCGCCACCGCGCCCGGCUAAUUUUUUGUAUUUUUAGUAGAGACGGGGUUUCACCGUGUUAACCAGGAUGGUCUCGAUCUCCUGACCUCGUGAUCCGCCCGCCUCGGCCUCCCAAAGUGCUGGGAUUAGAGGCGUGAGUUCAAUAGAUGCAGAACUCAUAGACAUCGAGGGCCAUCUGUAUUUGUUAUCAGUGAUAAAAGUUGAGCUUUCAACCAAACAUUAGAAUUUUGGAAAACAUGCACCUACCACCAAAAUCUUGACAGAUUCCCAGUACUUAGCCUUUGUUGAUGAAAUUGAUGGUUUUUGGUUGACCCCAGAGCUGCAUGCAAGAUUCCAAAAACCUGAGGAAGAAAACCACAACUGCAAAGCUUGAAGACCUGAGCAGAGAUUUUAAUGGUUUCCCAAUGAAGUUUGGAGUUUGAAUCUUGAUAAUAUAAAGGAAUUUGUUAAAUGCUUUGAACUUUCCAUAGAUAUUCUAGGAGAGCACCCCUUAUAUACUAAGAUAUUUUCCUUAGGACUAAGCACAAAACCCAAAUGGACUAUAAUUACUAAAUGUAAAACCAAAUACCCCCAAACUUAAAGUAAUCUUCUGGUUAUUUAAUGCCCAUUACCACAAAAAUUAACAAUCUUCAGAAGAAAAUUACAAAAUCCCAAAUAUUAUAUUGCAAUAUCAUAUAGCGUACAAUUGAAAAUUAUUAGAAAUGAGAAAAAAGAAAAAUAUGUAACACCAGAAUAAAAGAAAUCAUUCUACAAAUCAUUACCAUAAAUUGAACAGGUGUUAAAAUUAGGAGACAAACUAUAAAAUUACUACAAAAUAAUGGGGUUAAGACCCAAGGAACAGUAGAAAAUAAUAAAAGAGGAAUUGGGGAGUUUCAUGGAUAAUUAGGAGAGCAUAAAAAGGUAUCAAAUUGAAACCUUGAAUAAAACUGAAAAAUCAAAUAUCUGAAAUAAAAGAAUAUAUAUAUUAAAUAAGAUUGAAAGCAGAUUGGGUAUUCCACAAGAAAUCAUUAGUAAAUAUAAACUCAGGACAAUGGAAGUAAUUGGAACAGAAGUACAGAAUGGAAAAAGAAAACAGGGUGAAUAAGCUUUAAUGAUUCCUGAGACAUUUUAAUACAUAUGUAAUUUCAACCUCAAAAGGAGGAGAGAAAAUAAAAUCAACAUAAAAAGAUAUAUUUAAGAAAUAUAUGCUGAAAACGUUCCAAAUUAGAGCAAUCUAUAGAAAUAUCAAUACCAAUAUAUUUAAAAGUAGUUGUUGGGUCUUGUACAUUUAUCUGUGUGUUACCAGCAGAAGUGCUGACAUCCUUAGCCCCAGAUGAUUUUUUUCAAGGAUAUUUGUUUAGUGAAGAGCCUUAGAAGAUUGAGAUAGUGCCUUUCUCCAGAGCAAAGGGCAGUUUGUAUGUGUGUGGUUUUAUUUUGUUGUUGUUGUUUAUUGCCUAUUAUAAUAAACAUAGUGUCUUCCUUCAGUGCAGAAAACAGGGAAGUUUAUUGCUUAUUUUAGAAGAUUUGGGUUGCCUAAGCUCAGGUUUUAUGUUCUGUGCAGGACUACAGGAACCUGCUAGGUGUACAGGCAUCACUUCAAACCUCUUUGCAGAAUUAUGUGGGAAUUGGGACUCUGUGAACCAAUGCAAAUGCUGGUAGUCUGGCCACUGCUUUUGUUGUGAGUAAUAAAGACCUUUGUCUCUGACUUAGAGGUUUUAUGUCUUCUGAGAGCAUCCAUGAAAUUUUGGAAGGCUAAUUUGUUAGCUGUAAGUAGGAUAAAACCGUAAACCCUUUACAGUUGUUUACAGUGAUCAGAAUCCCAGAAUCUGAAAUCUUGAAAGAAGGAAAGAAGGGAAGGAGUGACAAAAGCAAGAAGGGAAGGAAGAAAAAAGAAUUAAAAACAACAAACAUGAAAACAGAUUACAUUAAUGCUGAAACUAGGAAAGAUUAUCACAAAUGUGAGCAGCACCACCUAGAAACCAAAUAUUUUGACUCAGGUUAAGACUAAUAUUUAUUAAUUUAAAGGCAGUGUACUGUGCUCAGUUUUAGGUGCAUUAAUUUAGGGAUAAACAGAAUUAUUCAUUGAAGGAAUAGGCUAUCCUGGAAUAUUACAGCUUCCCUUUUCUAGAAAGUAUUUUCAUGGAAUCAAAUGGCCAUUUAUUAGUUUGAACUCGAACUUUGAAAAUAUGAUCAUGUAUGAGCAGUUAAAUAGAAUGCAAUUAUUUCUGCAUCAGUAAAACAAGUAGGUUUAGAGAAGUAAUUCCAGAGUCACUUGCAUCUAUAAAUCGUUCUAUGAAUUUCCAGAAACUAAGAGAAACAAAGGUGAUAACCAAUGGUAAGAUUGAGAUGCCAAUUUGCUGAGUCAGCCAAAUUAGAAUGUAGACACCAGACUUACAUAUCAAAAAUAAGAAUGGUGUGGUCAGAACACUUAACAUGAGAUCUACACUCUUAAAAACCUUUUUUCCAGCUUUACUAUGGGAUAAUUUACAAAUAAAGUUCAUAUAUAAUUAAAAUGUACUACAUUAUUUUUAGAUGCAUGUAUUUAUUAUGAAAUGAUAACCACAAUCAAGAUAAUUAACAUAUCCAUUACCUUACAUAGUUACCUUGUGUGUGUGAGGCAGAGAAAGAGAAAAUAUUUAAAAUCAUUCUCUUAGCAAGGGUACAAUACAUCAUUACUAACUGUAGUAACCACAUUUUUCAUCAGGUCUCCAGAACGUAUUCAUCUUUUAAUCAAAAAAUUGUACUCUUUGACGAAUAUUUCCCCAAUUCCCCUCCCCAGCCCCUGGCAAUCACCUUUCUGUUCUUCUUCUGUGAGUUCGAGGCAGUGGUGGUGCAGGGAGCAAAGGGACAUAAGGAAACUUUUGGAGGUAAUGGGUUUGUUCAUUAACAUGAUUGUGUUGAUCGUAUUCUUGGUCUGUGCAUAUGUAUGUCAAACUCAUCGCACUGUAUACAUUAAAUAUGCACAGAUUUUUGUACUAUAGUUAUACCUUAAUAAAGCUGUAAAAAAAUAAGAAUGGUGUCAAAAGUGCUACCUUGUUUCUCUCUCUGUUUUUUGUAUUCUUAUUAAAC